UGCCAGCCGCCGCGGUAACACGGGGGGCGCAAGCGUUAUUCGGAAUUAUUGGGCGUAAAGGGCGCGUAGGCGGUCUUGUCAGUCAGGUGUGAAAUCCCCCAGCUCAACUGGGGAACUGCGCCCGAUACUGCGGUGCUUGAGGGAGAUAGAGGUGAGCGGAACCUGCAGUGGAGCGGUGAAAUGCGUUGAUAUUGCAGGGAACACCUGUGGCGAAAGCGGCUCACUGGGUCUCUUCUGACGCUGAGGCACGAAAGCUAGGGUAGCGAACGGGAUUAGAUA
rnacentral:rRNA from 1 species